rnacentral:rRNA from 1 species
ACGAACGCUGGCGGCGUGCCUAAUACAUGCAAGUUGAGCGAUGAAGAUUGGUGCUUGCACCAAUUUGAAGAGCAGCGAACGGGUGAUUAACGCGUGGGGAAUCUGCCUUUGAGCGGGGGACAACAUUUGGAAACGAAUGCUAAUACCGCAUAACAACUUUAAACUUAAGUUUUAAGUUUGAAAGAUGCAAUUGCAUCACUCAAAGAUGAUCCCGCGUUGUAUUAGCUAGUUGGUGAGGUAAAGGCUCACCAAGGCGAUGAUACAUAGCCGACCUGAGAGGGUGAUCGGCCACAUUGGGACUGAGACACGGCCCAAACUCCUACGGGAGGCAGCAGUAGGGAAUCUUCGGCAAUGGACGAAAGUCUGACCGAGCAACGCCGCGUGAGUGAAGAAGGUUUUCGGAUCGUAAAACUCUGUUGGUAGAGAAGAACGUUGGUGAGAGUGGAAAGCUCAUCAAGUGACGGUAACUACCCAGAAAGGGACGGCUAACUACGUG